GACAGAGGGGGCAAGCGUUGCUCGGAAUUACUGGGCGUAAAGGGCGCGUAGGCGGGUUGGUAAGUCGGUCGUGAAAUCCCUCGGCUCAACUGAGGAUCGUCGAUCGAUACUGCCGUUCUUGAGGAUUGCAGAGGAGACUGGAAUUCCCGGUGUAGCGGUGAAAUGUGUAGAGAUCGGGAGGAACACCGGUGGCGAAGGCGGGUCUCUGGGCAAUUCCUGACGCUGAGGCGCGAAAGCGUGGGGAGCAAACGGG
rnacentral:rRNA from 1 species